rnacentral:rRNA from 1 species
UACGGGGGGGGCAAGCGUUGUUCGGAAUUACUGGGCGUAAAGGGUUCGUAGGUGGCCAACUAAGUCAGACGUGAAAUCCCUCAGCUUAACUGGGGAACUGCGUCUGAGACUGGAUGGCUUGAGUGCAGGAGAGGAACGCGGAAUUCCAGGUGUAGCGGUGAAAUGCGUAGAUAUCUGGAGGAACACCGGUGGCGAAGGCGGCGUUCUGGACUGUUACUGACACUGAGGAACGAAAGCCAGGGGAGCAAACGGG